rnacentral:rRNA from 1 species
GCAAGUCGAACGAUGCUUUCGGGCAUAGUGGCGCACGGGUGCGUAACGCGUGGGAAUCUGCCCUUAGGUACGGAAUAACAGUGAGAAAUUACUGCUAAUACCGUAUGAUGACGUAAGUCCAAAGAUUUAUCGCCUAGGGAUGAGCCCGCGUAGGAUUAGCUAGUUGGUGGGGUAAAGGCCUACCAAGGCGACGAUCCUUAGCUGGUCUGAGAGGAUGAUC